AGAAUUGCCCAGGUUUAUCUCUUUUUCGACAUGUUUGACUCAGGAUUAAGAUGCGUCGGAAUCACUAUCAUAUAAACAGACCUGAACUCUGAACAUUCCUAUAUCAAAAGCGGAGAAGACAUUUUAUAUUUCAAAUUUUUUAUAGCAACCGCGAGCUUGCUUUCUGUCUUAAUUCGUAAACUAAUUAACUAAUUCUAUAUAUCGUGAAUUAUCUAAUUCAUAACUUUCGAAAUAAUUUGUGACGAUCAAGGAAACCCAUUUAUUGGUUAUCCGUCAAAAUUCUAAUCUUCUAAUCACCAUUGCAAUUGGCUUUCUUUAUGUUAAAAUGGAAGGGAUGGGAAAGCCUGCACGCACUUGAGUAGCGACAUCCUGAGAAGGUGCAGAGCUCAUCGGCGGCCGUUGCCGAAACAAUGCAGCCGUUGACCACCAGAUGCCCCUUUUUUCAGUAUCCAUCUUUUAUUGACAUUUUGAGUUUAUUUUUCUCUUGGAUUUGAACAACAUUAUUUCUCAGAGAUGGGUUACAGAACGUACAGAAAUCGUAAACAACAUUACGUUGAUUAUACUGCAAAAUUUUUAUUUCGUCGCCAACAUAAUUUUGUAUAAUCAAAUAACUGAAUUUUUUAUAUGAUCUUGUCAACAUAUUUCAAGGUCAACGAAAUCUGUGUGUUUCUUUGUAUAUAUGUAUAUAUGUUUUAUAACAUAUAUAAUUAUUGAUAAAAUAUAUAUUGAUAAAAUCCAUAGUCCACGUACAAUAAAUAAUAGUACAUAAUAAAGGGACAAAACACAAAAUAAAGGGAAUACUCGAGUUAUGUUAAAAUAUCUUGACUUUCUGGCCGAAAGUUGCAAGUUCGAUUCUUUUUAUCAGUUGUUUAUAGCGGAAUUGUACCAGGAUUGUAUCAAAAAAUUCAAAUUCCUUGAUUAUAUGGGUUUUAUCAAAUUCUACAAGAUUGUAUGUACACUCUUGGGAGGCUAGUAGGGGGAAAAAGCUAUAUUUCUACAUUAAUUAUUUUACACCUUGGGGUCAUAGUUGAAGGAUUGUCUGUUGCCUCCUCCUUUCUACUAACUCCGAUCUUUGAUAAGUGAACAGUUUGAAUAGGGAAUAAGGUUGUCCGGAGUCGUGAUAAUGAGGGGGGGGGGGGGGAGGUGUAAGCCCCCUUCAAGGAUGAACCGUGAGGCAGUGCACGGAGACGAGGGGGGCAUCGUAACGUUUCUCGGGGACCAGAUAUUACUUACGUUUUUCCUGAUCCGCUGAAGCAGACCACGAUGGAGGUUUUAGCUACAAACAUAUCUAUGAUUUUAGUCAUUAAAAAUCUGAGACUACCCCGAAUCUUCCCCUUAAAGGGUUCCAGUGUCUAUGAAAAUUUAGAAAAAAGAUCACAGAUCGUGAAAUCUUUCAUAUUUUCUUCCUCCCUCCGCUUCAUGCUUCAUCAUUUUCCUGAAAAAUUUGAUAAUUUUAAGAAUUUGUAAUUCUGGUAAGCAAUCAUCUUAUGCCUAUGAAGAGAAUCGGACAUUUCUCAGUUCAAAAAAGCUCUUUGGAUGUUUUCCAUGUCUGGAAUUUUCAGUUCAAGGUUCUGCAGUUAUGUAUAAAAUCUUUUAAACAAUCAAAUGUUCUUUGGAGACAAAAAGACGUCUUGAAGUUUUAUUAUAAUUUACAAAGAGUUAUUUCCUUGAGUUCUUUCUCUAUAGUGAGAGUUAAAUCUAAAUUAUUUGUAGGAAUUGGAAUAAGUGGUAAAUUCUGUUAAAGGUAGAUGGGGCAAAAUAGACAAAUGCAAGUAAGAAAAUGAGAUGAGAAAAAGUAAUAAAAAAGGAGUAAGUAAAAUAGAUAAUUAACUGACUAGAAGUUUAGAAAAAAUGAAAAUUACAAAAAUUGGUUACAGAUAAGUAAUAAAGUACAUCAGGUAAAGCGAUAAUAGAUAAAUGACGUAAUUUAUGUAUCUUUUUUCCAUAUAUUUAUUAGUUUUAAUUUAUUGAAAACAGUUAAUUUUUUUUAUAUUUCUUAUUCUCAUAGUGAGUAGACUUCGAUGCAAAAAAAUUAAUCUUUAAUUUCUUAGCCAAGAUUAAUUUUGCAGCACCUUUUGUGGCUUAAUUUCUACCAAAACAAAAAUGUAAAAUCUAUUUGUAAUAGUCAUAACAUACUUUUUAUAUAUCUGGCACAUAUAUUUUAUAUAGAUAUUUGUAUAUCUCAAUAAAAAGUAUUAAUUUACCAAUGUGUAGAAGUAAAUAUUUUUAUUAUACAUUUUAUAAUGAUUUAUUCCAGCAUAUUUGAAAAAAUAUAAAUGUUUGAAAUGUUACUUACAUAAAUCCAAGUUAAUAGUAAUUUUAUCUCUAGAACUGAAAAAUUGUUUCUAAAAUAUUAAAUUUCCUUAUAUGUACUUUUGCAGAAUAAAACUAAAUACCGACAACUCAAUUCUCUUUUUGUCAAAUGGUAAUUGCGAAAGUGAAUAAUAAAAAUACUUAUAAUCACGUAUAUUCUCAAAUAGACGAUAUUUAUAAUAUUUUACUUAUACAGCAAGAAGAAACAUAUUUGUUUUACAUUCGCUAUUUUAUAUUUUUAAUAUUAUUACACUUAAUUUGUUUUUGGACGUGUAUUAAUAUAAUGCCAAUUCUGUUAUUUGGUUUUAUACAUUUACAUCAUAUUAUAUUUCCAGCUAAUAUAGCUCAGGAAAUAAUGCAAUUUGACUUUUCUUGUACAUUACCAUCUG